rnacentral:rRNA from 1 species
AUACGGAGGGUGCAAGCGUUAAUCGGAAUUACUGGGCGUAAAGCGCGCGUAGGCGGCUUAUUAAGUCAGAUGUGAAAUCCCCGGGCUCAACCUGGGAACUGCAUCUGAUACUGGUAAGCUAGAGUUUUGGAGAGGGAAGUAGAAUUUCAGGUGUAGCGGUGAAAUGCAUAGAGAUCUGAAGGAAUACCAGUGGCGAAGGCGACUUCCUGGCCAAAAACUGACGCUGAGGUGCGAAAGCGUGGGUAGCAAACAGGAUUAGAAACCCUAGUAGUCC